rnacentral:rRNA from 1 species
AGAGUUGAUCAUGGCUCAGGAUGAACGCUGGCGGCGUGCCUAACACAUGCAAGUCGAACGGGGUUAAGGGAAAUUUCGGAUGGAACUUAACUAGUGGCGGACGGGUGAGUAACGCGUGGAUAACCUGCCUCACACUGGGGGAUAGCAGCUGGAAACGGCUGGUAAUACCGCAUAAGACCACAGCACCGCAUGGUGCAGGGGUAAAAGAUUUAUCGGUGUGAGAUGGAUCCGCGUCUGAUUAGCCAGUUGGCGGGGUAACGGCCCACCAAAGCGACGAUCAGUAGCCGGCCUGAGAGGGUGAACGGCCACAUUGGGACUGAGACACGGCCCAAACUCCUACGGGAGGCAGCAGUGGGGAAUAUUGCACAAUGGGCGCAAGCCUGAUGCAGCAACGCCCGCGUGAGUGAGGAAGUAUUUCGGUAUGUAAAGCUCUAUCGGCAGGGAAGAAAGGCCCGAAAGGGAGAUGACGGUACCUGACUAAGAAGCCCCGGCUAACUACGUGCCAGCAGCCGC